AGAUAAUAGAUACCCGGGUAGUCCCAGCAGUAAACGGUGCGCGUUUGGUGUGAGCAGGUUCGACCCUGUUCGCGCCGGAGCUAAACGCGUUAAACGCGCCGCCUGGGAAGUACGAUCGCAAGAUUAAAACUCAAAGAAAUUGACGGGGGCCCGCACAAGCGGUGGAGUAUGUGGCUUAAAUUCGAUGCAACGCGAAGAACCUUACCUGGGUUUGACAUGCAUCUCUAAGGCGGUGAAAGCUGCCGAGGGUAGCAAUACCCAAUUUGCACAGGUGCUGCAUGGCUGUCGUCAGCUCGUGUCGUGAGAUGUUGGGUUAAGUCCCGCAACGAGCGCAACCCUUGUAUGCUGUUGCCAUGAUUACUCAUGGCUCUCUGCGUAGACUGCCCCGUGAAACGGGGAGGAAGGUGGGGAUGACGUCAAGUCAGCAUGGCCCUUACACCCAGGGCUGCACACGUACUACAAUGCCCAGUACAAUUCGAACCCGUCCCGCGAGGGCUGGGAAAUCAGCGAAAACUGGGCUCAGUUCGGA
rnacentral:rRNA from 1 species